GGAAGCAAACACACGCCCAUGGGCCUCUCUGGUGACUGUUUUCACCCCGUCUCAGGCCGGAACAAAGAGCCUUUUUAUGAGGCGGUCAAGGCCCGGGGCUUGGGUGGCUCCUCCAAGCCGCCACAGCCAGAGCUGUCUCUGCCUGUGCUCGGGUGACCAUGGCCCCAGCCCGCCCCGCACGCUGCCGUGUCCAGGGGGGGAGACCCGGCCGGCCCUGCCUCCUGGUGGACUUCCGGCUCCCAGGCCGCCUCUGAGGGUCUGCCCGGGCUGCAGGCUCAGGCCGGGGCGGAGGGGGUGCUGGCUGCACACACACCCCGAAAGACGCCCCCUCCCCACCCUGGAAGCCGGAGCGCGUGACCCACACGGCCACAGGGACCCCGCGUGAGCGGCUGAGGGUCCUGGCAGGGCCCGCAGGAGACGGGUGGAGAAGGGGUCCUGCCUCUCGACACAGGGACCGACAGGUCACCGUGCAAGCUGUCCAGGGAUUGAGACCCGAGCCGUGAGCCUGACCACAAACGCCAGCUGGGCAGCUCCGUGCGGGGACAUUACACAGGUGCACGGCCCUGUCAGGGUCACCCAGGACUCCACAGCCUGAAGGUGCCGAUUCCCUGACCCCCAACACCACCCAGGCUCCCUGAGCGGCACCUGCCCGGCCACGUUCCCAAGGCAGCCGAGUGACUCAGGGCCCCUCCCCAGCCAGACACCACCCACUCUCCCGAGGACCCCUCCCCGCUGCGGGACACCCCCGCUGUGUCUCCCCUGUCCCCUCCCACACUCCUCUCAGCACGGGGGAGGAGGGGGCUGCAGAGGUGGGGCCGGGUUGAGACACAAGGCGCAGCCCACAGCCCUACUGCACUCCAGGUUCCCACUCGCACCUGCCCGGUGUGAGACCACCCACGUGGUGGCAGAAAGCAGCCUCUGUCCAGCGGAGCCGUCUGUCCGGACGAUGCCCCCCGGACGCCGUGUGGAAGUUGUAGCUCACUGAGGGCCCGGCAGGAUAACUGGAGGAGGCGUAACGAUGGGAUUCUCAGCUGGUCCUCGGGAUUUCCGCAGCCCCUGUGACCUAAAGCCAGACCCAGGCGAUUCCGGGAGAUCAGCCCUUCCACACGUGAGCCACGCAUCUCUGUCACACGGGCUUUGUCUCUCCAAGAGCCUGCAACACGCCCAGAGCUGUAACUAACACACCCUGUCCCUUAUGGGCGUCCCACGGGGCAUCUCCCCCCCAGACCACCUUCCUCCCAAGCCCUCGUGGCACCCCCAGAGCCACGUGCCUCUCGCGGCGGAGCUGGGUCCAUGGCGCAUGGCUUUGGGGCUGACAGUAACCAGGGCGCCCCCUGACUCCCCCAGAUCCCGUCCGGCCUGCCUGGCACUGCCUGUCCCGACACAGCCGGGGUCUGGGCGGGGCGGGCCUGUCCCUCCCCGGCCGGGACGCGGGUCAGAGCCAGACACCCCUUGCUCGGCUCCAGACCAAGAACAAUCUUGAAGGAAACCGCGUCGGGCCCGACUCCAGGCCAGGCGGUUAAACAUGGAUCCUGAUCACAGAUCGUUUCUGCUAAUUAAACAAAAUAUUUUUCCAGCGCUGUCUUGGUUUCCGCUGUUGCCGUUGGCACGGGUUGCUGGCACGCGGGCAGAGCCGUGCCCCGAAAGGCAGCACGGGGCAGAGGAGGACAAACGGGGCUUUUGAAGUCACAGCAAAGGCAGGUCUUCAAAGCAGGGCCAUUGUGGGUCCAAACAGAGCGGAGGAAGAGGACGUACAGGCACGCACCAAAGCCCUUAGAGACAAGAGCCCGUGUGGGCACGAGUUCUCCACGUGGCAAAGAUUAGCAGAGGUCCUCAGCCCCGCCGGGAACGUUAUGGCCACAAACUCCCCCUCACCCUGGUCCCAGGGAAACGCCCACGCACACAAUGUGUUGGUACAAGUUCAGGAUGUUUGUGAACUCUCUGAAGCCCGCCAGGAGCACGCCAGUGGUUCCAAGUUUAGAAUCCAGCCCUGGAGAAGUCAGGACGUGUUGCCAGUCUCCAAACUGUCAGCAGAAUUGUCGAGAAUAUAAAGUUCGUCCUCUCUCAGUGGCCCAGAGACCCCUUGACUGGAAGCUGCAGCACCCAGAGCCUCCACUGCCAGGCCCUCCCUGAGCUGUCCUACUAAACUUGGGACACCCCCCCCCCCGGCCUUCCCCAGAAAACGCUCUACAGGGCGCUGUCCCCUCAUUGCACACGCAGCAGCCCUCCAGCCUGACAUGGCCCCCAGUAAAAAGUCCCCGGCUCACAUCAAAGGAGCCUCCGUGUUACGAGGGACUCAGCGUCCUUCCGGAGGGAGUUUUCUCUCUGGCGACCAGGACUUCCUCGGGCUCGGCUGGGCCAACGUGUUUCAUCUCCGCGGCGUGUCCUGUUCUCUGGACGGGGAAUCUGUGGGCACAUCAGGUCUUAGCGCCGAGGAGCUGCCACCAAACAAUACAUCAAAGGCAGUUUCUUUCCACAGUAGAGAUGGUCUCGUUAUGAUUCAGGAACAAAUUCUACCCGAAGCUGCAGAAGGUCCCAGCGUGGAGGGACCCUCUCCCUGAGCCCUGAGCCCUGAACCCCACCGGGCACGUUGUCAGAUGGUGUGUGGCAGCGUCUUUUCCCCCGGGGGGGGUCUGGGAGUGGAAGAGCAUGUAGCCCCCGUCGUCCUUCAGCUCCUGGGAGAACCGGCCGGCGUCACCCAAUGGCACUUCCUCCUUUUGGCAUGCGAGGUUGGCACGGGGGUCCCAGGAGCUGCGUGGAUGCUGCGGAAGGGGCCGGGCUCAUCUGGAAGGAAGGCGGCUGGAGGGGCCGUCACUGGGGUGCAGGGGUGCAGCCUGGCGCAGAGAGAUCACCUGGAGGGGCCCCGGCCCGUCAGGGACAGCAGCAGUGCUGAGAACCCCACAUGUGGGCUGCCCCAGAGAACCCACCUAUGUGCAAAUGUGCCCCCAGGAGAAAGCCGGCCCUGGCUGGCUGGGGUGACGAGGGUACCCAGUACCAUGUCCUGGGGUGACGAAGGGCUCAGCCCCGAAGCUGGGGGGGCAGCCAGGAGGGCCGGACAGACCUGGACACCGCCUCACGCUGCCUUCUAGAACAUUCACCUGCCCACAGGUGGGGCCCCAGCCUCCUCCACUGGGGGAAAGGGGACCCUGCCCUCAGCCACCUGCUUGGACGUGAGCUGCCGUCCAGAAGUGAGGGGCG